rnacentral:rRNA from 1 species
AGAUUGAACGCUGGCGGCAUGCCUUACACAUGCAAGUCGAACGGCAGCACGGGAGCAAUCCUGGUGGCGAGUGGCGAACGGGUGAGUAAUACAUCGGAACGUGCCCAAUCGUGGGGGAUAACGCAGCGAAAGCUGUGCUAAUACCGCAUAAGAUCUACGGAUGAAAGCAGGGGAUCGGCAAGACCUUGCGCGAAUGGAGCGGCGAUGGCAGAUUGGUAGUUGGUAGAGGUAAGGCUACACCAAGCCUUGACUCUAGUAGCUGGUCUGGAGGAGGACGACAGCCCAUACGUGGGACUGACGAC